GCAUAGCUUCCCCGGUUUCAUUUUAACUGGUGAAAAAAAGUGAGGGCUUUACACGCACCUCAGAAAUAAAAAACAGUCCCAAACUAGAGGACAGAGAAGACUCAUAUUUCAAGCAGAAUAGGAGACGAAACAAGUCAGGGCUUGGCAAACAUUUAAAGGAAGGUUGGGCUACAGGACAUCUCUGUGUUAUUUCCUUUAAACAGUGAAUCCUUUUUCAGUAGACAUUAGAUCUGAGCCUAAGGCUAUUACUAAAGGACCUAAACAUUCCCAGGUGGGCUCCUCUUCAAUAAUAACAGGAGCCUUGAAGAGAUUUACUGAUACUGAAAAGAAUAAGUAAUAAACAGGAACUGAAGCAA